UCCCGGCGUCUGAGGCCCAUCUGCAUGCCAGGACAGCUGAGUAGAGCCAGCUGUAUGCCAGCCGCCCAGCUCGCGUGCGCGGUGGCCCCUCUCAGGUCUGCCGCAGAGCCUGUUCAAAAUUAAGUUGCAUCAGGGUGCUGUUACAUAACCUGCUGGCUGCUUCCCAGCCCUCUGGCGCUCCUGCUCGGGCUUGGCCCCAUAACCUCCAGGCAGACUUCUGCUCCAGGUGCAGAAAGAGACUUGGGGCAUCCACAAAGGCAUCAUUCACAAGAGUGACCCGUAUGUCCAUCAUGAAGACAGGUUUCAAGGUCAAGGGGCUACAGAGGUGGGUCAGCAUUUGCUGUGCAGGAGAGAUGACCUGGUUUCACCCGAAACCCCUGGUGGAGCAGGGGAACGGACUCCCGAGAUUGUCUUCUGACCUGUAAGCCGUGGUACAAGUGCAUCUAUACUCACACCAUAAAUGAAAAUCAAAGUG